rnacentral:rRNA from 1 species
GAUGAACGCUGGCGGCGUGCCUAAUACAUGCAAGUCGAGCGAACAGACGAGGAGCUUGCUCCUCUGACGUUAGCGGCGGACGGGUGAGUAACACGUGGAUAACCUACCUAUAAGACUGGGAUAACUUCGGGAAACCGGAGCUAAUACCGGAUAAUAUAGUGAACCGCAUGGUUCAAUAGUGAAAGACGGUUUUGCUGUCCCUUAUAGAUGGAUCCGCGCCGCAUUAGCUAGUUGGUAAGGUAACGGCUUACCAAGGCAACGAUGCGUAGCCGACCUGAGAGGGUGAUCGGCCACACUGGAACUGAGACACGGUCCAGACUCCUACGGGAGGCAGCAGUAGGGAAUCUUCCGCAAUGGGCGAAAGCCUGACGGAGCAACGCCGCGUGAGUGAUGAAGGUCUUCGGAUCGUAAAACUCUGUUAUUAGGGAAGAACAAAUGUGUAAGUAACUAUGCACGUCUUGACGGUACCUAAUCAGAAAGCCACGGCUAACUACGUG